GACGAACGCUGGCGGCGUGCUUAACACAUGCAAGUCGAACGGAAAGGCCCUGCUUUUGUGGGGUGCUCGAGUGGCGAACGGGUGAGUAACACGUGAGUAACCUGCCCUUGACUUUGGGAUAACUUCAGGAAACUGGGGCUAAUACCGGAUAGGAGCUCCUGCUGCAUGGUGGGGGUUGGAAAGUUUCGGCGGUUGGGGAUGGACUCGCGGCUUAUCAGCUUGUUGGUGGGGUAGUGGCUUACCAAGGCUUUGACGGGUAGCCGGCCUGAGAGGGUGACCGGCCACAUUGGGACUGAGAGACGGCCCAGACUCGUACGGGAGGCAACAGUGGGGAAUAUUGCACAAUGGGCGGAAGCCUGAUGCAGCAACGCCGCGUGCGGGAUGACGGCCUUCGGGUUGUAAACCGCUUUCGCCUGUGACGAAGCGUGAGUGACGGUAAUGGGUAAAGAAGCACCGGCUAACUACGUG
rnacentral:rRNA from 1 species